CUUCGUUAAGUUUGUGUUAAUUAACUCCGUUGUUAUUAAUUUUUCUUGAUUGUAUUCUUGAAUAUCUAAUUACCCUGGACCCAUUGAUUGUAGAAAGAUAUUCAUAGGGGUUUAGCGAGAGAAACGACGAUUGCGCAAUUCAUCAAGCACUUUGGUAGAUACAGUGAUUGAGGACACGCACAUUAUCAAUGGCAAGCAGGUGGAGAUCAAGCAGACGAUACCGAGGGAGGCUGCUGGCUGGAACUCAAAAGACUUUCGAACGAAGAAGAUUUUUGUGGGUGGAAUUCCUUCGACUGUGACUGAAGGUCUGCAUCCGUAUGUGAUCCUUUUCCAUUGGGACGUUCCCCAAGCCUUAGAGGAUGAGUAUGGUGGUUUUUUAAGUCCUCACAUUGUAGAUGAUUUUAGGGACUAUGCUAAACUUUGCUUCAAGGAAUUUGACAAUAGGGUGAAACAUUGGAUUACUUUGAAUGAACUGAGGAGUGUGAGCAAGAAUGGCUAUGCAAAUGGCAGGUUUGCACCUGGUCGGUGUUCUGAUUGCCUAUGAAGGACAGGAUGAAUAUGAAAAUGAUGGGUUUAUAAUGGAUAAGGACGAAGAGGAGGAUGAGAAAGAAGAUAGAGCAGAAUCUGAUGAUGAGCCACAGAAGAAAAAGAAGAGGAAGAAAAAGGAGGAGUAUGUCCUUGAUGAAGAUGAUUAUGAAUUGCUGGAGGACAAUAAUAUCAAUAUUCAUCGUCGGAAGGUUUUGAAUUUUUUGUACAUGUGUUUCAAUUUUUUUUUUAUUAAUGUUGGCUUUCAGUGGAUAAAUACCAUGCUAUAUAUAAAAAUUUAUUGAAAAUAAUUUUUAUAAUUCAUAAGGAAAGCAAAAAGUUUAAGCAGCUGAAAAAAGGCAGGAGGGAUACCGAGGAGGAGCCCUUUGGGCUGUCUGAUGAGGAGGAGUUUGUUGGAAGUGGUAAAGUUGGGCGAACUAUUGAGGAGAAGCUUAAAUGCAGUUUAUUUGGUGAUGAUGAAGUUAUGCCCAGUGUCAGUGAUUAGCAUUCUAAGAUCACAAUUCACAAACAAGUAGAACUAAUGGUGUCAGUCAUUAGCAUUCUAAGAAACAACAAAUGAAGCCUAAAUAAGAAUAUAGUAAUAUACAAAUGAAAGGUAAAUAUUAUUAUAUAGCAUAUGUACCUAGUGUCUGUAUGAGUAGCUCCAAUCUCCAAUUCCAUGGAGCUGGAGCAGUUAGAAGACAAGCUGUUGAGGUGUGAGUGUGACAUAGCGGGAAAAGCCUUCUCUUCCUGCAAGACAAUUGAAUUUGGUUUUAAAAUUCAUAUAUGAUAUAUAUAGUAUCUUUUAAAAAAAAUAGAAUUUAAAAGAAGAUAAGAUUAAAGUAUGGUUGUUAAAAAUUGAAGAGGAUGAUGUACAUAAUUAAAUUUUAAAAAUUGAGUUUUUUUAAUGCCAGUGAACAUGAUAAUCCAUUAUUUUAAGAAUAUCUUAUCACUUUCUCCUAUUUUCUGCUGUUAGUUAUUAAAUUGACAAAAUAUUUAAAAGUGUGUAUGCUGGCAUCUCAAAAGGGUUUAAUAGGGAUUACCUUGAAUUCUGACUGGUAUGUGUUGGUUUCUAAAGAGAAAUCUGAUCAAGAUGCUGCAUGUAGGGGCCUUGACUUCAUGUUUGGAUGGCUGUGAUUGACAGGGUUACCAACUUGAGGAAGGACAUUAUCGAAGGUCACACAGGCAAGAACUUCAUUGAGGAGAACAGUUGGAAGUAUGCAUUGUUGGAUGAGGGACAACGUGGAAAAAAUUGAUUUCCUUUGUUAGGAAAAAAAAUGAGUACUGGAUGAUCCAAGAAAUUAAGCAAAGUAAUUUUUGUAAGU